UACGUAGGGUGCGAGCGUUGUCCGGAAUUAUUGGGCGUAAAGAGCUCGUAGGCGGCCUGUCGCGUCCGCUGUGAAAUCCCGGGGCUUAACCCCGGGCGUGCAGUGGAUACGGGCUGGCUAGAGGCAGGCAGGGGAGAACGGAAUUCCCGGUGUAGCGGUGAAAUGCGUAGAGAUCGGGAGGAACACCAGUGGCGAAGGCGGCUACCUGGACCAGCACUGACACUGAGGCACGAAAGCGUGGGGAGCAAACAGG
rnacentral:rRNA from 1 species